rnacentral:rRNA from 1 species
UACGUAGGUCCCGAGCGUUGUCCGGAUUUAUUGGGCGCAAAGCGAGCGCAGGUGGUUUAUUAAGUCUGGUGUAAAAGGCAGUGGCUCAACCAUUGUAUGCAUUGGAAACUGGUAGACUUGAGUGCAGGAGAGGAGAGUGGAAUUCCAUGUGUAGCGAUGAAAUGCGUAGAUAUAUGGAGGAACACCGGUGGCGAAAGCGGCUCUCUGGCCUGUGACUGACACUGAGGCUCGAAAGCGUGGGGAGCAAACAGG